GCGGCUGAGGCCCCUGGCGCGUGCGGCUCGUAUAGCAGGCCGCUCGGCUUGCAGCGCCAUCACGCAGAGGUCAGAGGUGACGCGCGGCAGGGGCCAAACCGCCGAGGUAAGCCUGGCUCGCCAAGUUGCUACAGUCCGACGACUCUCCAUGCUCAGGGUCACUCUGCUUCACUGUCGAUCUACGAUCGGUCAUGGUGUACUCGCGCGCUACACUCCAUUCAGGUACAUUUUCUGCCCACUACUCCACCCAUGCUAAUACAAAUCUUACGGGGAAGAAAGUGAGGAGAAGCAAUUUCAGCGCAUGAUCCAUCUGCAGCCGUGAAUUACUAGUAACAUUAUUCUCUGUUAUCAUAACAGUUCGGUACUACACGUCUACACUACACAUCGCUCACGGAAGAAAAACUUAAAAACUCAGUAGGCAGUAGCCAGGAUUCAGGCCCGGACACAAGCAUCUCUGAUCGCCCGCAGCUCGGUGGCGGCAUCCCUCAUGCUCAUCCUCUCGUACUGCGCCGCUCUCGUGCAGCUAAGCCCGACCCUGACGGCAGAGACCAGGCAAUCCUGCACCGAGACGCCACUAUCACCGUUGGAUUCCUUGGUCGCCAGCAGCGUCGGGUCGAGGACCUCCUCUGUUUUGUCGGGAAAAGCCGCGCUGAUGAACCCUGGCAGAGUCAGUCCAUCCCUGAAGAUGUCGUCCGUCGGCAACCUCCCGGAAAAGAUCUCCAGCAGCGUGAUGCCGAAGCUGUAGACGUCGCCUUGUGUCGAAACUUUGCCGGUCGUUCCAUAUUCUGGAGUGCAAUGUACAGAUAAGUUAUUCUUUUUCAUACCUGCAAAGUUAUUCUA